CCCUUAGAUGUUCUGGGCCGCACGCGCGCUACACUGAUGAAUUCAACGAGCACUAACCUGCGCAGAAAUGUUCGGGUAAUCUUGUGAAAUUUCAUCGUGAUGGGGAUUGAUUAUUGCAAUUAUUAAUCAUAAACGAGGAAUGCCUAGUAAGCGUGAGUCAUCAGCUCACGUUGAUUACGUCCCUGCCCUUUGUACACACCGCCCGUCGCUCCUACCGAUUGAAUGUGCUGGUGAAAAGUUCGGAUUGGGAAUAGGAGACGGCAACGUAUCCUGUUUCUGAGAAAAUCUUUAAACCCUCCCAUUUAGAGGAAGGAGAAGUCGUAACA
rnacentral:rRNA from 1 species